CCACACCCGCAGCAAGGAUAGGCUGUCCCACCAACUCGUCAAGUUAGUACCAAACCGAGAAGACUGAAGUCAGCGCUUGUGACAGCUCAACCACUGCGCAGUGAAAAGAGGAGACCUACGAUGCACCGCCCAUGGACAUGAGGAGAACACCUUCUCCUGCUUCAAGAUUUUGUUCGCCAGCCUCUGUCAUCCUGUCCACUGGGACUACAAGCACCUUGUAAGCCAGUUGGAACAAUGAUGGAAGUCUCUUGGCCAUUUCCUGCCAGAACUGCAGAGCACUAGUGGUAACACAGUCGGGCACUUCGUCGAGGACUGAGAUGAUACUUCAAAUUUGUCAGAUUGCUAGCUGUUGCUAUUAAGAAAACUCAAUAGUAAAUAAAAGUGGGAGAAAUAAACAAGUCAUGGAAUUAUAAGUGUAUUCACUGUUUUUUCAUCACAAUAUUUACAAGUGUAAUUAAGUAGCUUAUUUUCUGAAGAAAAUCUUAUCAAACCCUAACACUUUGAGCUUGCAAAUUAAAUAGGUGUCAUAAUUAUAUUCUUUCAGAUGGCUCAACCAUAGGGCUUUUGCUUUUCGGAAAAUCACUGGUAAAUAAGAGUGAUGAGAAAUAUACAAUAGACAAGCCAUUUUGUAUAACAUCAAAUCCACAUGGAAUUAUAAUAAUUGCAUUCACUGUCAUUUCAUCACAAUAUUUACUAGUGUAAUCAUGUAGCUUAUUUUCUGAAGAAACUCGUAUCAAAACUCUCACACUUCGAGCUUGCAAAAUAAUUAAAUGCGGGAAUUUUGCAUCCCUGGUUGAUUUUUAA